rnacentral:lncRNA from 1 species
CCAGAUUCAACUAAAAAUAAUGGAAAAUGAAGAAGAUUUUGAGGAAUUUCAACACUUUGGUGGAUUUUUGAACCUGUAAUACCUGGAUUCGACUAACACAGACAGUUUCGGCGACGGGUUCGCUGGAAAAGCUCAAACCCUCCAUUCUCUCUCUAUAUAUUCGUCGGUCUUUCUCUCUCUAUUCUAUGUGUGUAUGUGUGUGUGCCAUUUUUUGUAUGUUGUAUCAGAAAAAAAAUCAUGUUACUUUAUCUGAGAAGAAGAAAAAAAUGGCGUCAUUUUUUG